AGAGACAGCAGCCGCCGCGGUAAUACGAAGGGUGCAAGCGUUACUCGGAAUUAUUGGGCGUAAAGCGUGCGUAGGUGGUUGUUUAAGUCUGCUGUGAAAGCCCUGGGCUCAACCUGGGAAUUGCAGUGGAUACUGGGCAACUAGAGUAAGGUAGAGGAUAGUGGAAUUUCCGGUGUAGCAGUGAAAUGCGUAGAGAUCGGAAGGAACAUCUGUGGCGAAGGCGACUAUCUGGGCCAUUACUGACACUGAGGCACGAAAGCGUGGGGAGCAAACAGGAUUAGAUACCCCAGUAGUCCCUGUCUCUUAUAC
rnacentral:rRNA from 1 species